rnacentral:rRNA from 1 species
AACUUUAUUUAUUUUUUGUUCUGGAGAAGUCUGCCUUUUGCAUCAUGCUUAGUAGAUUACCUUGAAUAAAUUUCUUUAACCGAAAGCUUUGGAUUUCAAAUUUGAUUGUUUAGAACUUUAAUCGGGUAGAUACAAUUUAAAUUUUUUUUGUGUUGUGAUAAAUUAGUCGUCGUGGUUUAUAUCUGUUUUUCGGCUAUAAAUUUUAAGUCACUUGUUUGGUAACGAGAUCCAUCAAGUUAAUACAUUUUUUUUUCUUUUUUUUUUCAAUAAGGUUAAAAAUACCUUUUUGUCAGAAGUUUGUUAAAAGUUUUAAUAAAAAUUUAAAUAAAUUAUUUUCGUUAGUCGUUUAAUUGAACUUUUAGUGCUUAUUUAUUACUAAAUAAGUAAUGUGAGCACGUAUAGUUGUUUCUCAAGUUUUUCCUGUCUGUUUAUUAAAAACAUUUCUAUAUUCAAAUAUUUAUAGUAGUGCCUGCUCUAUGCUUACGUAAAUGGCCGCAGUAUCUUGACUGUGCGAAGGUAGCAUAAUUAAUUGCCUUAUAAUUGAAGGCUUGUCUGAAUGGUUUGACAAGGUAAAUACAAACAUCUGGUGUCUUUUUGAAAUUAAUAAAGAGGGCACAGAAUCCUCUUAUAUUAAUUAGACGGAAAGACCCCGGGAUCUUUCAUUUUUGUCUGGGGCAGAUUAAAAUUUUUCAUUAAGUUUAAGACCCUUAAAUAAGUUUGGUGAGUUAAGUUACCCCGGGGAUAACAGUGUAAUAGUCUAUUAGAGGUCUUAUCGAAUAGACUGUUUGCUACCUCGAUGUUGACUUAGGUAAAUAAGCUAGGCGCAGUAGUCUGGUUUUAAGGUCUGUUCGACCAUCAUUACCUCCAUGAGUUGAGUUAAGACCGGCGUGAGCCAGGUCGGUUCUUAUCUAUUAUUGUGAUUUAUUAGUACGAAAGGAUUGUAAGUUGUUUUUUU